GGUUUUUGUUGCGCCCUUUCGGAGUCGUGGAAGAGGUUUGGGCGCCACACCAGUUCGCGCAAUUCACAGAAACUCGACGCCUUUUCCGUGCAACUCUAUAUAGGUCAAACGCUAGUCAAGGCUUCGUCGAGGUCCGGUAGUUUUAGGUGUUCGAAUUUCGCGAUCCGGAUGACGAUUUCGGAGUCAUCAGUUUCCGGAAUCGGGAUCCUUCGUCGUCGUUUGAUUUCCAGAUAGUCGGUUCACUAUUUUUGGGAAGGGGUGUUUUUUUCCAAACGGGGGAAAAUCAUUUGCGCGCGUGGAAGGUCACAGCUCGUCUCUCGCGUUUUGGUGUUGCGUGUGGUUUUUCGAUACUUGUCUUGUGUGUUUUUCUUCAUUUUUCUCGCUGCCCCCGAUUCGAAUUUUUUGAGAAGCAAAGAUAUACACACAGUCCUAGUCUCUGGUUCUGGUUUUUUUCUCCUGCCAUAUCAUCGUGUCAAUACAGUGAGGUGAGGUGUUGCAAACGAGUGAGUCGAGCUUUCCUUAGUUCCAUGGCCUUUUUUCUUGAAUGGGAGAAAUUUUCUCGCCCUGCUGAUAGUGGAUUUGCUUACUGUAAUUAAGAAAUUACCAACGAAAACGGCAAAUAGUAGUGAAAUUCGGGUGUUUUUCUUUCAGAAAACUAUGAAGUAGAGACCGUUCCGUAAUUGAAUCGUAGAAAAAACGUGUGAUUAGAAGCUAGAAGCUUAGCAAAAGUUGAAAUAGUCGAUGGUUCUGUUUUUGUCCUCUCCCGUCCUCCGUAAAAUUUCCCAAAUGGUGGACAGGGAUUGCAUACAUGCUGGAAGUGAUGAUGUAGCCAGCAGGCAUUAUUAAAUAGUGUAAAAUAUUAAAGAAAAACAUAGUUGAAUGUGUGCUGAUAGAGUGUAAAAGAUUGAAGAAAUAAUAGUGGAAAAAAUCUAUGUUUUCGGAGCGAUCAUCCAAAGCACCCAUGUUUCUUUUUACAAACGUUACAAGGCAUCAUCUUUCAUUCUUUCCCAAUUGACUGGGUGGUGGUCGAAACUACUAUCAAUAGGGUGCAGUGGUGUGUCAUCAUAUGCAGGAAUGCUAUCAUUUUUGCUCUUGAAAUUCUUCGUGAAUCGUAAAGCAUAAAAGUGUUGCUGCAGCAUGUAAACCUUGGAAUACAUUGUGUUAAAGUUAUGCAGAAUACAGUCUUCACGAAAAGCUAUCACCAUCUUCAACGCGCCAUCAUCUGAUCUCUAUCACGGGAGAGUUUCCAAGUCAAGGAAAAAGAAUCCAUCAGCAUCAACAAAUCUAAACCACACACGAAUUUUCCGAAAAACCUCAUCAGUAAAAGAAGAAUCCCAUUGAAAAAAGCGCGAGAGAGAGAAAGAGAGUGCGAAAACGGGAACGAGAAGUUCGAAGAACACAACAGAGACAGCGAGAAACAAAUCCACACAAACACGCACACACUGACACGCAUGGGUCCCAUACAUACAAGGUAGAAAGAAAAAAAAGCACAUGAAGGAAAACUCAUGGUCUCUGGGAGGUCAACUUGAAACUUCCGGAAUUGAAUGGUGAAAAAGAAUCGAAGAUCGCACUCCCUCGGGGUAAGAAAAGCAAAAAGAAGAGAAAACAAGUGAAGAGGAUACGGGAAAAAUAGGAAGAGAGCAAAGAAGGCAUUCCAAUGGUACACAAGUACAGUGAGUCGGGAUACUGGUGAUAAGAAAUCAACACACACAGCACAAAUACAACAAAAAACACAAGCAAAACGGCAAUAGUAGGAUUAAUAACGUCAUCCAAUCAGAGCAGUAUCAUCGUCAUCGAAUCAUUCUUAUCAAAAACGUCACCGAAUCUGAAACUGAACGGCACUAUACUUUGGACAUGGAGAAGAAACGAUUCGGUGCACCGAUAGCAGGAAGAAAGUAAACGGCCCAUAAAAAUAAAUCCAAACAGCGAAAAGAAAGAAAAUCUCUGAGCCCUGGUUAUUUCGACCUAGAAGCCCAGGAAACAAACAAUCUGCGGCAGGGAUUUUGGGCGAUGGCGUUUGAGGUUAUGAGGGCGACCGGUGUCUGCCCAUCAUCAUCAUCAACAGCAACAACAUCAUCGUCGUCGUCCAGCUCAGCCUCACCAGUAGUAGAAAAAGUGAUACAUCAACAACAACAACACUCGUCGUAGAGCCAGAAGUUGUUUUAGGCACAAAACAACUUCUACCGCUACUUUUCCAAAUUGGAAUGUCCUGCAGCGUCGACGGGCUGCCGGCGGGGUGUCGACUCCGGGGCAUGGGCUCGACCGUUCAAACUGGUCCACUUAAUUCGGCUUUGAGUGGAACGCAGCAGACCUCAUCCAAUGUUGUCCAACUACAACGACCACCUUCGCAGAAGCCGUGCUGUUUCUGCUGGUGCUGCUGCUGCUCCUGU